rnacentral:rRNA from 1 species
UACAGAGGUCCCAAGCGUUGUUCGGAUUUACUGGGCGUAAAGGGCGCGUAGGCGGCGCGGUAAGUCACUUGUGAAAUCUCUGAGCUUAACUCAGAACGGCCAAGUGAUACUGCAGUGCUAGAGUGUGGAAGGGGCAAUCGGAAUUCUUGGUGUAGCGGUGAAAUGCGUAGAUAUCAGGAGGAACACCUGAGGUGAAGACGGGUUGCUGGGCCAACACUGACGCUGAGGCGCGAAAGCCAGGGGAGCAAACGGG